GUAAUCAUUUUGGCAGCACAUAUACUGAAAUUGGAAUGAUAUAGAGAAGAUUAGCAUGUCCCUUGUGCAAGGAUGGCAUGCAAAGCACACUCAAGAUACUCAAUAAAUAUUA